rnacentral:rRNA from 1 species
CUAUGGGUGCUAAGGUCCAUAGUCGAAAGGGAAACAGCCCAGACCGCCAGCUAAGGUCCCUAAGUCGUGGCUAAGUGGGAAAGGAUGUGGGGUAGCCAAAACAACCAGGAGGUUGGCUUAGAAGCAGCCAUCCUUUAAAGAAAGCGUAAUAGCUCACUGGUCUAAUAGCCGUCCUGCGCCGAAGAUGUACCGGGGCUAAAGCCAUGCACCGAAGCUGCGGGUGCGACGCAAGUCGCGCGGUAGCGGAGCGUUCCGUAGGCCUGUGAAGGGUCGCCGCGAGGUGUCCUGGAGGUAUCGGAAGUGCGAAUGCUGACAUGAGUAGCGACAUGAGGGUGAGAACCCCUCACGCCGAAAGUCCAAGGGUUCCUGCGCAAGGCCAAUCCGCGCAGGGUGAGCCGGCCCCUAAGGCGAGGGCGAAAGCCGUAGUCGAUGGGAAUCAGGUUAACAUUCCUGAGCCUGGUGGUAGUGACGGAUCGCGUAAGUCGUCAAUCCUUAUCGGAUUGGGUUGGCGGCGAAGUGGUCCCAGGAAAUAGCUCCACCAUUAUAGACCGUACCCUAAACCGACACAGGUGGACUGGUAGAGUAUACCAAGGCGCUUGAGAGAACGAUGCUGAAGGAACUCGGCAAAUUGCCUCCGUAACUUCGGGAGAAGGAGGCCCCUGCAUUGGGCAACCAGUGUGGGGGGGCACAGACCAGGGGGUGGCGACUGUUUACUAAAAACACAGGGCUCUGCGAAGCCGCAAGGCGAAGUAUAGGGUCUGACGCCUGCCCGGUGCCGGAAGGUUAAGGGGAGCGGUGAGAGCUGCGAACCGAAGCCCCGGUAAACGGCGGCCGUAACUAUAACGGUCCUAAGGUAGCGAAAUUCCUUGUCGGGUAAGUUCCGACCUGCACGAAUGGCGUAACGACUUCCCCGCUGUCUCCAGCAUCGACUCAGCGAAAUUGAAUUCUCCGUGAAGAUGCGGAGUACCCGCGGUCAGACGGAAAGACCCCGUGCACCUUUACUACAGCUUUGCAGUGGUAUCAGGAAUGGCAUGUGUAGGAUAGGUGGGAGCCUUUGAAGCAGUGGCGCCAGUUACUGUGGAGGCAAUCUUGAAAUACCACCCUUGUGAUUUUUGGUAUCUAACCGCGGCCCGUGAAUCCGGGUCCGGGACCCUGCAUGGCGGGUAGUUUGACUGGGGCGGUCGCCUCCCAAAGAGUAACGGAGGCGCGCGAAGGUAGGCUCAAGCUGGUCGGAAAUCAGCUGUUGAGUGCAAUGGCAUAAGCCUGCCUGACUGCGAGGCCGACAGGCCGAGCAGAGACGAAAGUCGGUCAUAGUGAUCCGGUGGUCCCGCGUGGAAGGGCCAUCGCCAACGGAUAAAAGGUACGCCGGGGAUAACAGGCUGAUACCCCCCAAGCGUCCACAGCGACGGGGGUGUUUGGCACCUCGAUGUCGGCUCAUCACAUCCUGGGGCUGAAGCAGGUCCCAAGGGUUCGGCUGUUCGCCGAUUAAAGUGGUACGUGAGCUGGGUUUAGAACGUCGUGAGACAGUUCGGUCCCUAUCUGCCGUGGGUGUACGAAACUUGAGAGGAGCUGCCCCUAGUACGAGAGGACCGGGGUGGACGUACCUCUGGUGGACCGGUUGUCGCGCCAGCGGCACAGCCGGGUAGCUAAGUACGGAAAGGGAUAACCGCUGAAAGCAUCUAAGCGGGAAGCCCCCCUCGA